UUGGGAGCACGGUUGAGGACUUCGUCGCCGACGUCGCGCCGCGAGCCGUUCGAGCGCACGUGUUGCCGGGGCACUGCGAGGAGGCCGGGCGAGGGUGCGUCUUCGCCGUUCCUGUCGCCGCACCGCCGUUCAUCGCUGUUGAGAUUUCCUGCGUCGACUGUUAGUAUUUCGGCUCGUUCUCCGCGUAGGAGCGUCGGAUCGCGACGAAACUUGGUUCAUUGGAUUCUAGACUGCGAGAGGAUUCCACAGAGCCCUCAUUUGCAAUUUUUGGGCAAGCUUGGCGUUGGCUUGGCGACCGGACUUAGAGAUCCCCGAUUGG